rnacentral:rRNA from 1 species
CCUACGGGGGGCAGCAGUGGGGAAUAUUGCACAAUGGGGGAAACCCUGAUGCAGCGACGCCGCGUGAGUGAAGAAGUAAUUCGUUAUGUAAAGCUCUAUCAGCAGGGAAGAAAAUGACGGUACCUGAGUAAGAAGCCCCGGCUAACUACGUGCCAGCAGCCGCGGUAAUACGUAGGGGGCAAGCGUUAUCCGGAUUUACUGGGGGUAAAGGGAGCGUAGACGGCAGUGCAAGUCUGGAGUGAAAGGCGGGGGCUCAACCCCCGGACUGCUCUGGAAACUGUACGGCGUGAGUGCAGGAGAGGUAAGUGGAAUUCCUAGUGUAGCGGUGAAAUGCGUAGAUAUUAGGAGGAACACCAGUGGCGAAGGCAGCUUACUGGACUGUAACUGACGUUGAGGCUCGAAAGCGUGGGGAGCAAACAGGAUUAGAUACCCCAGUAGUC